GAUGAACGCUGACAGAAUGCUUAACACAUGCAAGUCUUUGGCGAAGCUGUGCUUGCACAGCCUAGCCAAGGCGGACGGGUGAGUAACGCGUAAGGAACUUGCCCUGCAGUCAGGGAUAACAGACGGAAACGACUGAUAAGACCUGGUAAAGUCAGGCGGACUCACGUCCAGCCUGAUGAAAAGAGAUGCUGUAGGAGAGCCUUGCGUCCUAUUAGCUUGUUGGUGGGGUAACGGCCCACCAAGGCGAUGAUAGGUAGCCGGCCUGAGAGGGUGGACGGCCACAAGGGGACUGAGAUACGGCCCUUACUCCUACGGGAGGCAGCAGUGGGGAAUAUUGGACAAUGGGGGCAACCCUGAUCCAGCAAUUCUGUGUGCACGAUGAAGGUUUUCGGAUUGUAAAGUGCUUUCAGCAGGGAAGAAAAAAAUGACGGUACCUGCAGAAGAAGCGACGGCUAAAUACGUG
rnacentral:rRNA from 1 species